rnacentral:rRNA from 1 species
GCUGCGGUAAUACAUGGGGGGCAAGCGUUAUCCGGAUUUAUUGGGCGUAAAGGGUGCGUAGGCGGUUAAAUAAGUCUAUGGUAUAAGUUCAACGCUUAACGUUGUGAUGCUAUAGAAACUGUUUGACUAGAGUUGGAUAGAGGCAAGUGGAAUUCCAUGUGUAGCGGUAAAAUGCGUAAAUAUAUGGAGGAACACCAGUAGCGAAGGCGGCUUGCUGGGUCUUAACUGACGCUGAGGCACGAAAGCGUGGGGAGCAAACAGG